AUGACAAUCCUUGCACAUCUUAUGCACAUCACUGAUUUACCACAUUGUAUCCCCUCAUCCUCCAAUUCUUGAUCAAAUGGAUGAUCAUUUGAUACUUUCAAAUGGACUCCCUUCAACUGAACCCUAGACUCAGGGAGUAUUUCAAACCACUCCCAAUUGACCUCUUUUUUUUUUAGAACAACUUAUUUUUCCUCAUACCUAUCUCACUCCCCCAUUCUUUUCCAUCAACACCUUGACCUCUUGAAUUGAUUUUAUGUCACCAUAUUCACCAUUGGUAUUGUAUCUGUACUUCCAUCACUACCCCUCUAAACCUUGGAUCUAUCUCUUUCCAUCAUUUGUUUGCCACAAACAAAGUGAUAACAAAUUUUCCUUUUAAUGCAUAUCACUCUCACUCUCCAUUUCUAUCUCUAUGUCUCAACCUCCAUCAACAUUACCUCCUCAACAUCAUGCACAUGGAUGAUGUGCAUCUCUCUCUCAUUGUUCAUUUUUGUUUGGCAAGAAUGGAGCCGGCCAAUUUGUGUUUGCAUUCAAAAUUCGGCCAGCACUAUCUCCCCUUUUCCUUCUUAUACAAGCCAUGCCUCCCACCUACCCCAAUCCAUAAAUGGGCAGCCUCCCAACCAACUCAAUCAAUGAGGAGGCUAUCUCCCAACCAACUCAAUCAAUGAGGAGGCAGCCAACCCACCCCCUCUCCCUCUAUAUAAAGGGGCUUGGCAGCCCACUCCCUCCUCACUUGCUCUCAUUUCCCACUCUCCACUCCUCUCCACUCCUCUCCUUUGCCUCAUUUCUUUUCACUCCCUACUAUUUCCUCCACUCCCUCACACUCUCCUCCUCCACUUCCCCACGAAAAUGGUGCUCCCCUUGCUCCCAUGGCCGGCCAUGGCCAUGGAAAGCCACCAAGAUGAAGCUCCCUUCCUCCCUCAAGCUCAUCCUCACCAUGAGAGCCUCCCCCUCCAUCUUCUCCCCAACCUUAGAUGGUUUAAUCUCCUCUUCUUCUCCCUCCAUUGCUAAGAUUGGAUCUUGAUGCAGGUGCAUGUUGGUCCAAGCAUGGAGAAGGUUGAGCUAUCCUCAGAUCUGAAGUUCUUGAGCAAAAUCCAAAUCGAGUGGUUCAAAGUUCUGCAGAUAGAUCAAAAUCUGGUCAGAUCUGACUUUGUCGAAUUAAACCAGGAGCUUGGAGACGAAUUUUUGAAUGAAACCAACUGGAUGCGAACAAUUCCGGAGAAGAAGAACAAGUGGAAUCGGAUGAGAAGAUUUUAUUUAUAUUGUUGGGAUUGUUAUAUUGAUGGAGUUGAAGAAGUACAGGGACAAAUAAGCCAAGAUCAAAAUCUGGUCAGAUCUGACUUUGUCGAAUUAAACCAGGAGCUUGGAGACGAAUUUUUGAAUGAAACCAACUGGGGGUACUUAUCUUGUGCCAUGGUGAUACCGAGAGAGGCAAUUGCUAAGUUGUGAUACUCUCAUACCUUUACUAGAUGCGAACAAUUCCGGAGAAGAAGAACAAGUGGAAUCGGAUGAGAAGAUUUUAUUUAUAUUGUUGGGAUUGUUAUAUUGAUGGAGUUGAAGAAGUACAGGGACAAAUAAGCCAAGACUUGAAGGAGUUCGACAGAUGAAGAAGGAGUUGGCGACGUCUAUGCGAGCUAGGAACGUC